CUGAGCUCUCUGCUCAGCUCCCUCACGCGCCGCAGAGUGAGGCUGGGAGCCGUUCCCGGCAUCACUCUGCGGCGCGCGAGGGAGCUGAGCAGACAGCUCAG